rnacentral:rRNA from 1 species
GACGAACGCUGACGGUGUGCUUUAGACAUGCAAGUCGAACGAGAAAGCCCUUCGGGUUAGUAAAGUAGGCGAACGGGUGAGUAACACGUGGGCAAUCUGCCCCUCGCAGGGGGACGAACCGGAGGAACUACCGGCUAAUACCCCGUAACGUUCAAAGGGAGGCAUCUCUCUUCGAAGAAAGGUAGCUUCGGCCAUCCGGCGAGGGAUGAGGCCCGCGGUGCAUUAGCUAGGUUGGGUGGGGUAACGGCCUACCAAGGCGACGAUGCAUAGCUGGUCUGAGAGGAUGAUCAGCCACACUGGGACUGAGACACGGCCCAGACUCCUACGGGAGGCAGCAGUCGGGAAUCUUGCGCAAUGGGCGAAAGCCUGACGCAGCAACACCGUGUGUGUGAGGAAGGCCCUCGGGUCGUAAG